rnacentral:tRNA from 1 species
UCCCUGAUAGCUCAGUUGGUAAAGAAUCCGCCUGCAAUGCAGGAGACCUGGGUUCGAUCCCCGGGUUGGGAA